rnacentral:miRNA from 1 species
ACUCUCAUUGACUGAGAGGGAUUCCUCUCGGCCGGUGAGAGUAUACACUCUCAGCGGCCGGGAGGAAUCCCUCUUGGCUGGUGAGAGU